rnacentral:rRNA from 1 species
CCUACGGGCGGCAGCAGUGGGGAAUAUUGGGCAAUGGGCGCAAGCCUGACCCAGCAACGCCGCGUGAAGGAAGAAGGCUUUCGGGUUGUAAACUUCUUUUCUGGGGGACGAACAAAUGACGGUACCCCAGGAAUAAGCCACGGCUAACUACGUGCCAGCAGCCGCGGUAAUACGUAGGUGGCAAGGGUUAUCCGGAUUUAUUGGGUGUAAAGGGCGUGUAGGCGGGAAUGCAAGCCAGAUGUGAAAACUAUGGGCACAACCCAUAGCCUGCAUUUGAAACUGUAUGGCUUGAGUGAGGGAGAGGCAAGCGGAAUUGCGGGUGUAGCGGUGAAAGGCGUAGAGAUACGGAGGAACACCGGUGGCGAAGGCGGAUUGCUGGACAGUAACUGACGCUGAGGCGCGAAAGCGUGGGGAGCGAACAGGAUUAGAGACCCUUGUAGUC